GACCCCGUCACGUGACGCAGCACGACGUGGCCGGGUUAUAAAGCAGCGACGUCCUGGGGGGCGCGUCACAGCCUCCACGUGGUUUCAGGUGCGGCGACACGAGACGCCUGUGCUUCCAAAACCGACAUCAAACGCCGAGUAAAACAUACUCCCGUGUGCCCCGACUGGACAGACUGGACGACCAAGUGAACUCCAAUGAUGGCGUCCAGCAUUGAACUCGAUCGGUUCUACAGCGAAGAGGUUGAGUUUCCACCUCGGCUGCUCACUUCGCACAUCAAAACUGCCGAAAGCGAGGUUGGUACACUACUUGACGGGAUGGGAAGCAUUCUGCGGCCAGACAUAGAUCCCUUGAUUGAAGACAUCGUUUAUACCGGCAGCUCCUACGAAGGACUCAAGGUGAAGGGGAAAAUGGAGCUGGAUGUUAUGAUCGUUAUCUCUCACCCGGAAUUCAAGUUUAUCCCCAUGACCUCACAUUACAGUGGCUAUCGUAAAAUAGAAGCUGAGCGACAACCACUUACUCAACUGCAAGCAACAGGUUUUUGGAAAUCAGAAAGUCCCUUUCACUCAUUUGAAAAGGACUUUACCAGCAAUGGAUACCUGAUACCAUCAAAAAUAUAUCAGUGGUUCCAGUCAUUAGCAGACAGAGCAGUCAAAGAAAACAAGUUAAAUUUUUUUACAAAGUUUGUAGGCAACUAUCCAGCCCGUACGCUCAUUUUAAAUAUUAGCCCCGGUGUUGAUAUCUACGUGGACCUCGUCCCAGCGAUCAAAAUCGAGGGAGAUCUCUACGCGGUGGCCAAACCCUUGAAGACAUCCCCAGAACUGCACCUCUGGAGGCUGUCGUUCUCGGUCUUCGAGAAAAAGAUCCUCAGGCAGCAUCAAAGCUCCUUCCACCUGAAUGCCCUGAAGAUCCUCAAGUACCUGCGGGAGCACGACCCUCGGCUGGAGGAGACGUCUCAGUUCGCGAGUGGAAUCUGCUCGUACCACCUGAAGACGGCCUCCCUCCACCUGCUCGCGCAGAGGCCGGACACGCCGGAGGGCCUGCACGAGUGCCUGCACCAGCUGAUGGACUUCCUCCUUGAGUGCAUGCAGAAAAGGGAACUCAACCACUUUUUUACGGGGAAUCCAUCGAGCCUGGCGAGGAACGCGCAAGUGCCCAGCAGCAUUACCCACAGAGAGUGCUGCCUCAAUCUCUUCGGUAGCACAUUUAUGAAUUGGAGCACCCUGAACCAGGCGAGGGAGAGACUCAUCAGGAUUAAACGAUCUUUGCCUGCUGUAAUCCAACAGCAUUCUGGCCUGGCACCAGGGCGGUCGCCGCGAUAUAACGAUAUAGCGAUAUCACGAUAUAACGAUGUCGCAAUAUCGCAUCACGGCGAUAUCGUAUUGCGGCGACAGCCGUCGUUUCAAAACCGGGAAAAUGUCCGCGGUCCCCUGAGCCUCCACGUCCCCCCUCCUCAACCCCUCCAGGUGGGCAAUCUGGGAGGGUUCAGCCAAUCAGAGGCAAGGACUUUGGUGACGUCACAGAAAGCCGCCAUGGUAACCGGGGACCCCCCGCGCGGGCAAUUUGCUGCCACGUCAGAAGGAGGCGGCGGCGGCGGCCUUCGGCUGUACUCACAUUGCUGCUGUUGUUUGUUGUUGUUUAUUGUUGUUGUUUGUUGUUUUGGUUUACUCUGGAUUCUGUCAACCGCUAAUUCUGUCAGUACUGCGGGGGCCACUUUUUGGUGAGCAGGGCUCGACACGAACUUAUACAGUACUCGCUUAGCUCGCAUAGAAGACACUGACUCACAUAGACACACUGACUCACAUAGACACACUGACUCACAUAGACACACUGACAGACACACUGACUCACGUAGACACACUCACUCACAUAGACACACUUACUCAUAGACACACACUCACAUAGACACACUGACUCACACAGACACACUGACUUAUAGACUCACAGACACUGACUCAUAGACUGAAUAACACGUAGGCACACUCACUGAUAGAAUCGCAUAUAUUUCAUUUUUUCAUCAAGGAUUUCAAAGGGCUGUACAGGAUACAGCAGCAGCAGACACUCAGCAUAAAAAGAAUAUUAUACAUACAUUUUGAAAUCUAAUUUGCUAAAUAAACUAAACGUUUAAUAAGCUUAAGCGUAUAAAUAGGUUUUAAGAUGCAUUUUUUAAAACGUCCACAGACUCUAGAGAGAGAUAUCCCUUAUGUCUCGUGGAAGAGCGUUCCACAAUAGCCUGGGGGAGGCUACACGGGGACAAAUCUGGGUCACCCAUAGACAUAAGCCUCGACUUGGGAAUAGAGAGAACAUCUGCAUCACCCAUCAGAGGUGGGGAACGUCCGGCCUGCGGGCCGUAUAAGUCCCACGAAAUAAUUUGGUCUGGCCCUGCCAAGGCAACCGCACGACUCGAAAUUCAAUAAAUCUAGGAGCUUUUUGCAUAGCAACGUGAAUUUGAUUUUGUAUGGCCCGCGAAUGAUGUUAUAAAUAUUUAAUGGCCCUUGGCAGAAAAAAGGUUCCCCACCCCUGAAUUUUAAUAGGAGGUUUGAGAACCCGACGACUCCACGCAGAUAGGUACCCAAGUCAGUAACUGAACCCAGGUAUUUUAUUUUAAUAAUAUAAAUGCCCAACUUUAUCUGUGAUGAAUAUUAUGAACGCUGCACUUCCUGUUAUUUUCAUGCAGGGGGCGCUGCAAACCUACGCGCCCCCUGCAUGAACGACGGAGGCGCAGGGACAGACGUUCGAUUACAUAGGAAUCGAUCUGCAGACGGCGGUCUUCUCGCAUGGCCAUCAGCUCUAUGUCGCCUUAUCUCGAUCUCGCAAUCUCAAACAGGUGAAAGUCCUCAUCGAACCGAACCCCCAGCAAGGCCAUCUACUUAACGACGAGAGAAAAUUCACACGAAAUGUCGUUUUCAAUUAAGUCUUCCAGACAUGCAUCCCAGUGUAUGGAAGUUCGCUUGUAACACGACUUAUAAACCCGUGCACGAAUGCUAUAGGUACGUUGUGUUAAAUUUACUCGGCGAACACCGUAGUUUCUCUUGAUUAGUCUUUUUUUUCGCAAUUUAUUUUAAGAAUUUGUAUUUUAUAAUUAAAAACUUUCAACUUUAAGUGAUAUAUAUGCAUAUGCUUUAAAAAAGAGGUUUGCAGCAUGCUUAAGUGUACAGUUAUUUUAUUACAUCUUGGGCCCGACAUUUUCUCCGUUGGAUCGCAUCUCCAAUUCGAUCAUCGAAGUCAAUGGGAAAACAGGGCUCAGCACACGGAAUGUCGCCUUGCGGACAGCUUUUUCAGGAACCUGUGUUCCGUAUAUCGAGGGCAAGGGAAGACAAGGCGGCGUCGUUGUCCCAUGGUUGAUUGAAGACAGUUUUUUUUAUCAGCUUUAGCGAGUGACAGCGGUGGCGGUAGUAACACAGGGCAGCAGCAGCACCAACUGUUGGAAAGUCCUCAUCGUGCCAAUUCGUUGCUCGUAUAGCACAUCGGUGUGUAGAAGAGCAAAGCCACAAUAGUUACAAUGAUUGUAGAUGGAUUGUAAAUGUCGGUGUGCUGUACUAGUAACGAAUUGGCACGCUCUGUUUACGGGACAAUUCUUACCAUUUGGCUGCGUCUGGUGGUGUCGUGGUUUAACGACACAUUUAUAUAUUUUACGCGAUAUAACCCCAAAAAACCUGUAUUAUGGAGUAUGUUGCCUGUUUACCCAGCAAGUGAACUACCACGGUUUUUUUUGCAGAAGGUAGGCGAUGUUCCUGCUGCGUGCGAUUCCCAACUGAGUCAUUUGCAGGGAAUUGGACAAUCAACACCAGGUUACGUUGUGUGAGUUUUAACCUAUACCUGAAAGCUGCAUAACCUGGAGGGGGGAACGUCCGGCCCGCGGGCCGUAAAAGGCCCGGAAAAUCAUUCGUUCUGGCCCUGCCAAGGCAACCGCACGACUCGAAAUUCAAUAAAUCUAGGAGCUUUUUUCAGAGCAACGUAAAUUUAAUUUUGUAUGGUCCGCGAAUGAUGUUAUAAAUAUACAAAUGGCCCUUGGCAGAAAAAAGGUUCCCCACCCCUGAAUUUUAAAGGGAGGGGUGAGCACACGAAGACUCCACGCAGAUAGGCACCCCGAGUCGGGAACUGAACCCGGGUAUUUUAUUUUAAUAAUAUAAACGCCAACUUUAUCUGUGAUGAAUAUGAUGAACGCUGCACUUCCUGUCGUUUUCAUGCAGGGGGCGCUGCAAACCUACGCGCUCCCCCUGCAUGAACGAUUACGUUAGAAUCGAUCUGCAGACAGCGGUCUUCUCGCAUGGCCAGCAGCUCUAUGUCGCCUUAUCUCCACCCCUCAAUCCCAACCAGGUGAAAGUCCGCAUCGAACCGAACCCCUCGCAAGGCCAUCUACUUAACCACGAGAUAAAAUUCAGACGAAAUGUAAUUUUCAAUGAAGUCUUCCAGAUGUAAAAUGAUAUAAGCUUUUAAUGAAGAAAUUAAAAAAAAUCUAAUUCGAAACAUAAUACAAUUGAAAGAUGUUUCAUUUUUUUGCGUGAAUGCAUCGUUCGUGUGAAAAAAAAAAUCGUGACUUUCCUUGCUGAAGGCUACCACGGGAGUGUAUGGGCACAUUAUCAUGGGGAGGAGUAUUGAGGUGAAAAAAGUGGAUUUGCAACACAAAGACAAAGAUCCCCCGUGUCUCGGACUCGCUGUGCGCUACGUUGCACCGCUAGCUGAGUAGUUAACCUCGCAUCCAAUAAACCCUCAGAUCCAGGGUGAACAUCCCACUCCAAACGUUAUUUAUUGAAUUUAACGAGGUAAAACUGGUAAGAAAACAGCACAGAUACAGCAUCUGUUAAUACCAGGAAACACCAACACAAUGAAUGAACACCACAGCAUCAUAACAUUAUCUUAGAUAACAUGUUUCUCAACAAUAGAUCCUGGAUAGACCGGGCACCUACAUUACCACUGAAUAGCUAUAAGAGCAUAAGCUGCUGUGUUACAUAAAGGCACGUCGUUUAUUCAUCACACUGCACCCCAAAUGUACCGCACUACAUAUAACACUUAACUGUGGAUGAGACAUUUUGUCAUCCUUGCUCUCAAGAUCGCAAUAUAGUUACUUGGGUACAAGUUUGACUCGACGAAUUCGAUUACAAGUAACAUUCACAAUAAGGCAAGUUGCAGGCUUCGUUGUUAACUAGGCCUCAUAUUUAUGAUAACAAUUUAACAGCAUUAUAAAGGCAUUUACAGCAUUAUAACGGCCAUUCUAACAUAACAGCUUUCCAAGUAUUAUAAGAACAUAAACAAACUUCUUAAAGUCCCACAAUGGACGAUUACAGCUGUCUUCACUGGGACGCGAUUUGUGCCGCCAUCUUGAAUUCUUGUGUAAUGGCUGCCUCCAGCCUCGUGGCUGAAAGACUGUCAAAUCGGAACUUCCUGGUCAUGUGACCAAACUCAACCUCAAAACAGGACAUUCCUGUGUACGCACACCCCCACUCCUCCCACGGAGCACAACACCUGCCGUGAGGCAGAACACCCCGUGUAGCCUGUAACAGACUGUCUGGGCAAGUGCUGUUAGCGAGCAGCUAUGAAGGCUGGACGUUUGUGUGGCCAGCACCACGCCCGGCCGGCUUUGUCUCCCCAGUGGCGAUGUUCACACACCGCGCCAGGUUACUCAUUUGAGGCUGAGUCGACCUAGGGGAAGCCCCAGGACCGAUUCAGAUAAUCGUCACUGGUGUUGGUGGCCGUAAGCAGGAAUCGAACUCGGGUUGCCGGGUUCAGUAGCGGAGCGGAGCAUUACCCGCUACACACAGACACAGAGACACACGGAUUUGCAAUACACAGACACACAUGGAGUUGCAACACACAGACACAGAUGGAGUUGCAACAGACACACAGAGACAGACACACGGAGUUGGAACAGACACACAGAGACAGACACACGGAGUUGCGCCACACAGACACAGACAGACACAGAGUUGCACCACACAGACACACGGAGUUGCAACAACACACAGACACACAGAGACACACGGAGUGACCUGCAUUAGACCGUACCUUGCAACGGGGUUAAUCGGCACAGCUGCACCUAUGGGGCCGUCCAUAAAUGACGUCACGCGAUUUUGGACGAUUUUUGACUCCCCCCCCCCCCCCCUCGUCACACGGCGUCACAAAAAGUCAGACCCCCCCUCAAAUAGACGUCACAAAGCUCUGCCCCCCCCCCCCCCAAAAAAUAAAACAUGCUUCAAAUCGCUAUUAACUAUCGUCAUUGUAGUGCGUAUUUAAUGUGGCGCUGCACUCUGAUGUUGUAGGAGAAAACAUUUAUAAAAAAGUCUAUUUAAGUAGAACGUGUUGUCUAUAUUUAUUUAGCUAUUUUGAUGUGACUUCACAUUUCUCAAACCCCUCCCCCCUCGUCACACAUCGUCACAAAUGUCUGACCCCUCCCCCCCCGGAGGUGCGUGACGUCAUUCACGGACGGCCCCUAUGACUUCACCACGCGUUCACUGAACGUGAAAGUCAGUCACCCCCAUCGCCGUUCACACGCAAACACGUGGCUUUCACCCAAUGGGCGCGUCGCGUUCUGCACGUCAAGUGACAGAUUUCCGAGCAACAGUUGCUGACGUUGCCUGGAAGUGACCCCGUCACGUGACGCAGCACGACGCGGCCUGGUUAUAAAGCAGCGACGUCCUGGGGGUCGCGUCACAGCCUCCACGUGGUUUCAGGUGCGACGACACGAGACUCCUGCCCUGCCACCACCGACAUCAAUCACCGAGUAAAACAUCCUCCCGUGUGCCCCGACUGGACAGACUGGACGACCGAGGCGUGGCUACCCGUUGGCAGGGGCAACCGCCGUCCAAUGAAAGCGGCGAAGGCAUGGCUACCCGUUGCCAGGGGCAACCGCCGUCCAAUGAAACUGCAGCCCGCGGCUAAGGCGUCGCUACCCGUUGGCAGAGGCAACCGCCGUCCAAUGAAAGCGGCGAAGGCGUCGCUAGCCGUUGCCAGGGGCAACCGGCGUCCAAUGAAAGUGCGUAUGGUCCGGGGACACACACACACACAGACAGUCAGACAGACAGAUUCGCGAUUUUAUAUAUAUAGAUGUUAGUUUGCAUGUUUUUGCCACUAGCACGUGCGGUCAAUACGGACUUGAUGAUGCCUUGCCAUCGGUGUGUCGAGCUGGUGGGUUUGCUCCAAGUUUUCCGGUUUCCUCCCACGGCGAAAACAAACAAAAAAGGCCGCAUGCAAUGUACCUCGUAUUGACUUAAAGCUUUCGUGACUGCAGGAAUUCAUAUUCAAGGGGUCUUUCGGUAAAGUCACGCAGAACUAAACAUUUUUGUUAUAAAUAUAUAUCUUUUUUGUUCUAAAAAAAAACAAUUUUGAACUUUUUUUAUCUAAGUAUUGUUUCAGCAUCCCAAUGCAAAACAAAAUUGCCUGCAGAUUACUCAAUUAAGAUUACACACAGCAGCAACUACACACUCUACUGUAAAAAAAGAAGGCAGGACCCUCCUGAAAUAAUGUCGUGAGGGUUUUUCCCUGGGUAGACAAGCACGAUGAUAUGAAAUGCUUCGUGGCAGUAAACAUCACCAAAAGUAAAAGUCCGCUGUGA